UCAUAAAUGAUUGUGCCAAGGUACCAGUCCCAAUUGAGUUGACGAAAAUUAGUAAAGAUGUCAUUUUUCCCAUUUCGAAACAUAAACACGCCGACGAUGGUAAGUGGACAGAUCCUCAAGGGGAUGUAAGACUCUUCCAUCACCACCAAAAGAUGAAGCCUCCUCCCACCAGAAGGAACGAUUUAUGUCCUUUAGAAGCUUGAAUCUGGCGCGAGCAACCAGCGAUUUUCAUGAUAGUUAAUGGCUCAGUCGUCCUUCUGGAGUAGCACCAACAACUGGAGCAGUAUUGCUUAGCCCAUCCUACGGAAAACCAGCAAUCAAUCCGAACAGGACUUUCAUAAAAGUACCAUUUUUUUACAACAACGUUCGUGAAGAGAGGAUCAGAAAUAAAUUGAAAAAAGAAAAAAAAAUCAAAUCAAGAAACGAAAAGCUCAAAACAUGCUGAAGUGAACUAAUUCAAAAUAGAAUUUGUUUUAUUUGAUAAUCAACGGAGAUAUUAUUGAGUCCUUAAUUACGAAUGUUCAGAAAGAAGUUAUGUGUUGCACAACAUUCGUGAUCAAUAGUCCUUGGUUCGUCGCAGUGCUAUCAAUGAUGGGCUGAGUGUGUAUAAUGAAGUUGAUGUUAACAACACUGCGCUUAGGGCCGCCCUGGCUAUUGGGAAUGGCCGAACAUUACUCGUUGCCGAAAGGACAGCCACGGAUAAAAUUAGUUAUGCCGCAGCUACCGAAAAAUCAACAAUGGAUGACCCCUGAUCAAUCCUUUUUUUGUUUUUGCAGCAUUGCAACGAACAAAGAAAACAUCUGAAUCGUGCUUCGCAAUCGAAGUGUCAAUAUAAUUUAAGAUGGAGGUGAGAGAUUCCAAUUUUAAUGAAUUAAAGUUGAAACAAUUGAUAAUAAUAAAUAUUUCAAAAGAUUUAAAAAA